UACGUAGGGGGCAAGCGUUGUCCGGAAUCAUUGGGCGUAAAGCGCGUGUAGGCGGCUCGGUAAGUCCGCUCUGAAAGCCCGGGGCUCAACCUCGGAACUGCCUUCGAUACUGCGGGUCUCGAGUCCGGGAGAGGUGAGUGGAAUUCCUAGUGUAGAGGUGAAAUUCGUAGAUAUUAGGAAGAACACCAGUGGCGAAGGCGGCUCACUGGCCCGGUACUGACGCUGAGGCGCGAAAGCGUGGGGGAGCAAACAGG
rnacentral:rRNA from 1 species